ensembl:snRNA U6 U6 spliceosomal RNA
GGAGACUCGUGCUCGCUUUGGCAGAACAUACACUAAGAAGAUUAGCAUGGCCCCUGUGCAAGAAUGACGCGAAUUUGUGAAGCAUUCCAUUUUCAA